rnacentral:lncRNA from 1 species
GGAAGUGAUGGCCAUGCAGUUAGGUGUUUCCAUCUGUGCAAUCCUCUACAUGAGUAUAGUGGUAAACACAUAGCAUUGAACAUGUUUAUUGCAGAUGUGGGAGGUGAGUUAAAGUAAAUCUUAUUGUGUUUAUGAUUCUGUUGUAAAAUUUUAGUUCUUUGGAAACUUUGCAGAAUUUUACAGAAGUUCCAAAUAUCUGCUUCCUGGAGCUGUGCCUUGUCUUUAUUGUAGCUGAGUACUUAUGUGGUCCAGAAGUUGCCCAACUCCCUGUAAGCAUAGGAGCCUAACAUCAGUUAGCUCUGUACUGGUGCAGUUUCCUUAACUGGAAGUCCUUACAACGUCUUGUCACAGGAUGUAUGCCUGUCAACAAUUAAUCUGUACAUGUGCAACAUGAAUUCCUUGGACUGAUAGAUUCUUCCUAGGUCUCCAGUGAGAAUAUGGUUGCCAGUGCUGUCAGACACAGAAUUAACAGGACUGAACAUAUAGCAACAGACCUCCUGGAGGAUUGCCAUACUGGCCUGGAAGAAACCAGUACACUGUCCAUUUCUGGGCAAUAUUAGCUUCUUUGGGAAAGUGGAAUGUACUCAGGCUCUAAUAGCAACUGCAGAGGUGCUUGGCAUCUCUGGUAUUGAUCAUAUUUCACAACAAUCUUUGGCUGAUGUUGAUGGUACCAAAGAAUUACUGUGCAAAAAUAAAUCCCUUAGAAAUUCCUUAACAAGAAACCUCAACCAAGAAAGUCAGCUGUGACAGACAUGCCUAGCAGUUUUACCAGCUCAUUUCACGUUGGUCAUCCAGUGACUUUCGGAGUACCCACUGCUUUGGACUGAUUGAAAACCGUUUGCUUAAGAUGGAAAUAUUUCAUAUCCUAUUACUAAUCACCUGAGCCAGCUGGCCUCCUCCUACCCCCAUGGUCAUUAUUUUUUAAGGAAAAUCAUUUAAGUACAGAAACUUGGCUCUUUGUUCUUUCACUUAGGUCCCCAGCAUUCUGUGCUGUGUCAGAGAGUUCUUAGGGAGUCUGGGGAAAAAAAAAUGCAAAACUGGGAGACUGCAAAGAUGUGAAAGGAACAACAUCCAAACAAUGUAUCUAGUCAACAUAUCUGAUGUUGCAUGCUAAUUACAACUUUCUCUAUGCUUCUGGAGUUCUGUAGUUUGUGUCUGGACUUGCUGUGCUUUUUGUCUCCAAGUUUUCCUGUUUUGCUUUUCACUUUUGUUAGUGCAAAAAGAAUUGUGCUC